CAUAACCAUUAACGGUGGAUCACUUGGCUCGAGGGACGAUGAAGAACGUGGCAAAAUGCGAUAAGUGAUGCGAUUCGCAAGCCUAGUGAGUCAUCAAGUUUUUGAACGCAAAUGGCACUCUUGAUUGCAUCAGGAGUAUGUCUGGUUGAGGGUUGUUUUUUGAGAUAACGUCACAC
rnacentral:rRNA from 1 species